GAUGAACGCUAGCGGCAGGCUUAAUACAUGCAAGUCGUGGGGCAGCGCGGGUAGCAAUACCUGGCGGCGACCGGCAAACGGGUGCGGAACACGUACGCAACCUUCCUUUAAGCGGGGAAUAGCCCAGGGAAACUUGGAUUAAUACCCCAUAAGAUUAUGGUGUGGCAUCACACAGUAAUUAAAGCUCCGGCACUUAAAGAUGGGCGUGCGGCUGAUUAGGUAGUUGGCGGGGUAACGGCCCACCAAGCCUACGAUCAGUAACUGGUGUGAGAGCACGACCAGUCACACGGGCACUGAGACACGGGCCCGACUCCUACGGGAGGCAGCAGUAAGGAAUAUUGGUCAAUGGACGCAAGUCUGAACCAGCCAUGCCGCGUGGAGGAUGAAGGCCCUCUGGGUUGUAAACUUCUUUUAUUUCGGAAGAAACCGGAC
rnacentral:rRNA from 1 species